GUUGACUACAGGUGUAAAACUCCUGGUGUGCACACAGGAUUUGGCAUCAGUGGCCAGGAGGGAAUAGAAACAGUUCUGGCCAAUGGCUUUGCCCAGCACUUCAGCAUCCUUAUUUAAAAAGGUGCCAGUACUUGUGUUAUUUCUUCCACGUAAUCUAUGCUUUCCCAUUUGUGGAUUUCUAGUUUAUCUUCUGUGAAUCCUCUGCUCAGGUGUAUGUGGAUAAGCACU